UCUUCCUCCCUCAGUGCAGUGAUUGUAGCUUCUUCUUCUUCAUCUCUGAGAAACUGAUGAAGUUUCUCAAACUGCUGUUUAAUCUGAUGCUCUGUGUGAUCAGCUUGAGACUGAAAUCAAACCACAUUCACUUCAAUCAUCUGAAUUGUCUUAUUCUGUAGACACAAAUAUCUACAUCCCACCAGCCAAACAGUUUUAAAUGGAUUUUUAUUAGGAUCAACAUCAAUAGGGAUAUGAUUUGGGAUUGAUAUAUACUGACAUUCUAAACACUAUUAGAUAUCAAUAAUAUGUGAUAUCAUUUGAAAGGACAUACUGAACUUUUAAGAAUCAGUCAAUCAAGUAUUUUUAUGACAAAACUUUAAAACAUGGCAAGCAUGUAUGAAUGAAAAUUUGUUCACACAGUAUUAAACAGAACUCAGAGAUUUGGUGGUGGAGCUUGGGACAUUCAAUGUUUCUGUGAAGACUAACAAUAAUGAGGUUCGAGAUUAAAAACUUGCUAAACGUUUCUAAAAUGAAAAAUAUUUUUAUGUUUAACAACAUAAACUUACAUUAGUUAAACACAAUUUCUCUUUCCUAAAGUAGACUAGCCAUCUGGCAACAGUGUUUCUCUGCGUUGGCCUGAGACGCCGGCAUAAACUAGUGGGACAACAAGCUAUAGGACAAGCAGUAUAAAGAAUAGAUGGAUGGACUUCUCAUUUUGCUCAUGUCUUCAUUCAGUUUCUCUUGUAAGGACUUCAGUGCUGUAUUGAGCUCCUCCUGCACCAGACACCAGAGAUUUAUGUAUUAUUGUGAAUGACUCACACAAGUUUUUUAACACAAGAUUAUUUGGAGGAUCAUCUCUUGAGGAUCUUCUCCUGCAGACAGGACACUCCUGGGUAUUCUUGGUUCUCCAGAACUGUUGAAGACACUCUUUACAGAAACUGUGAUUACAUGAUAGAAGAACGGGAUCCUUUAAGAUGUCAAAACACAUGGGACAAGAAAAAUCAUCUACAGAUAGUGAAUCCAUUUUCACCGUUUAAACUUCAGAAAUCUGACUUUACGUUCACUUUCUGAACGAGGUUGCAAAAAGAUCACAAAGAUCUGUUAUCUGUUCUGAAACAAACUUCUCAAAAAUCCUUCUUGAAAAAGUUUUUCUUUGUUCUCCACUGAGUCUUUUGUACUUUUGUCAAGACACUAAGAGAGUCAAUAAGACAGAAAUGAGAAAUAAUAAGACAAUUGCUUCCUGGUAAGUGUUCUAAGAGGGUGGAGUUUCUGCACCUGAAUCAUCUUGUCUCGUGUUUUUUAAUUGUUUGUCUGCCUUAUUUAAUGCUGGAAGGUGAUUUAAAAUGUUAAUGAUUAUCAACCAUUGGACAUCUGAUCUUAAAGGACUUUAGUAUAUGGAUACAUAUGACAUGUUUUUAUAAUUAUAUUUGAAAAUCUCUAUUUUUAUACCAGAAA